ensembl:snoRNA Gm22495 small nucleolar RNA SNORA17
CCUGCUCCUAGAGGAUUUGCAGGGGUGGCUGCUGUGUCUCAUGUGCAUCAGUAGGUGGCAGAGAGGAGAGAGGUUAAAUCUAUGCUCAGAGCUCUGACCUGUGAAAAUGACUAGUAGCCUAAAAUU